AACUCACGCCACUUUUCUCUCCCACUCUCUCCCAAUCUUCUCCAAUUUUUCUCCAUGAAUUCUUCUUCCUUUGAAAAGAAUUUAAGUUGAAGCCUCUAGAGUUGUUGAAGAAUCAAGAUCAUGUUUUGUUUCUACCAAUCGUUUCUAUCAAUAAGAGGUGAUAAUUCAUGCGCUAAACGUGAUAUCAAAGGAAAAGCGAUACUUGAAAUCUAAACGGUCGAGGUUGAGCGGCGACGAGCGGUUGGCGGUAUUGAGCAAAUUA